CUGGUGCCAGCAGCCGCGGUAAUUCCAGCUCCAAUAGCGUAUAUUAAAGUUGCUGCAGUUAAAAAGCUCGUAGUUGAAUUUCGGGACCAAUAUGUCGGUCGUGCUUCGGUACGUACUGUCAUAAUUGGUUUCUCCCUUCUGAAGAACCUUGAUGUCAUUAAUUUGGUGUCUUGGGGAAUCAGGACUGUUACUUUGAAAAAAUUAGAGUGUUUAAAGCAGGCUCGCGCUUGAAUACAUUAGCAUGGAAUAAUGAAAUAGGACGUUUGAUUCUAUUUUGUUGGUUUCUAGGAUCGACGUAAUGAUUAAUAGGGAUAGUUGGGGGCAUUAGUAUUCAAUUGUCAGAGGUGAAAUUCUUGGAUUUAUUGAAGACUAACUACUGCGAAAGCAUUUGCCAAGGAUGUUUUCAUUAAUCAAGAACGAAAGUUAGGGGAUCGAAGACGAUCAGAUACCGUCGUAGUC
rnacentral:rRNA from 1 species